rnacentral:lncRNA from 1 species
UACCCCAAACUUAAGAUGUUGCUAAUUCCAGAAGCAACCCCAAACUUAAAAUGUUGUCAUGACAAGAAAAUUUAAAGCUUCUACCUAACUCCAAGGAGGGCAAACAGAUAAAAAAAUUUCAGGUCUAAAAGGCUUAUAAUUUGGUAUGUCACCGAAAGAAAAGGGAAUUUUUUUUUUUUUUUUUGGCUCAAAAUGGUUUAGCAACGGAUAAAUAAUAAACAGGGUAGCUUGAAAAGGCUCAGAGUACCAAACAAAUGUGCCUCUAUGUGUGAAAAUGUAAAACCAAUCAACAGGAGAGAAUAAUCGCAAGUUCUAGAAAAUAUACAAAGCAUGGAUACACUCAUAAGAUGUGAAAGA